GAUGAACGCUGGCGGCGUGCCUAAUACAUGCAAGUCGAGCGAACAGACGGGGAGCUUGCUCCUCUGACGUUAGCGGCGGACGGGUGAGUAACACGUGGAUAACCUACCUAUAAGACUGGGAUAACUUCGGGAAACCGGAGCUAAUACCGGAUAAUAUAUUGAACCGCAUGGUUCAAUAGUGAAAGACGGUUUUGCUGUCACUUAUAGAUGGAUCCGCGCCGCAUUAGCUAGUUGGUAAGGUAACGGCUUACCAAGGCAACGAUGCGUAGCCGACCUGAGAGGGUGAUCGGCCACACUGGAACUGAGACACGGUCCAGACUCCUACGGGAGGCGGCAGUAGGGAAUCUUCCGCAAAGGGCGAAAGCCUGACGGAGCAACGCCGCGUGAGUGAUGAAGGUCUUCGGAUCGUAAAACUCUGUUAUUAGGGAAGAACAAAUGUGUAAGUAACUAUGCACGUCUUGACGGUACCUAAUCAGAAAGCCACGGCUAACUACGUG
rnacentral:rRNA from 1 species